GCCCGUUCGGGGGUCGACUAGCCAUGCGAGUCGAUGUAGCAUACAUGGCGUACUGCUCAGUGACACGUGGACAACCUACCCUCAGGUCGGGGAUAAACCCGGGAAACUGGGUAUAAUACCCGAUAGAUCUCGGUUGCUGGAAUGCAUCGAGCUCUAAAGCUCCGGCGCCUGAGGAUGGGCCUGCGGCCUAUCAGGUAGUAGUGGGUGUAGCGUACCUACUAGCCUACGACGGGUACGGGUUGUGAGAGCAAGAGCCCGGAGAUGGAUUCUGAGACACGAAUCCAGGCCCUACGGGGUGCAGCAGGCGCGAAAACUUUACAAUGCCGGCAACGGCGAUAAGGGGACCUCGAGUGCCAGGUUACAAAUCUGGCUGUCGUGAUGCCUAAAAAGCAUUGCAUAGCAAGGGCCGGGCAAGACCGGUGCCAGCCGCCGCGGUAACACCGGCGGCUCGAGUGGUAACCGUUAUUAUUGGGUCUAAAGGGUCUGUAGCCGGCCGGAUAAGUCUCUUGGGAAAUCCAGCAGCUCAACUGUUGGGCUUUCAGGAGAUACUGUUCGGCUCGAGGCCGGGAGAGGUGAGAGGUACUUCAGGGGUAGGGGUGAAAUCUUGUAAUCCUUGAAGGACCACCAGUGGCGAAGGCGUCUCACCAGAACGGACCUGACGGCAAGGGACGAAAGCUAGGGGCACGAACCGGAUUAGAUACCCGGGUAGUCCUAGCCGUAAACGAUACUCGCUAGGUGUCGGCCACGGUGCGACCGUUGUCGGUGCCGUAGGGAAGCCGUGAAGCGAGCCACCUGGGAAGUACGGCCGCAAGGCUGAAACUUAAAGGAAUUGGCGGGGGAGCACCACAACGGGUGGAGCUUGCGGUUUAAUUGGAUUCAACGCCGGG
rnacentral:rRNA from 1 species